UACGUAGGGUGCAAGCGUUAAUCGGAAUUACUGGGCGUAAAGCGUGCGCAGGCGGUUUUGUAAGCCAGAUGUGAAAUCCCCGGGCUUAACCUGGGAAUGGCAUUUGGGACUGCAAGGCUUGAGUGCGGCAGAGGAGACUGGAAUUCCGCGUGUAGCAGUGAAAUGCGUAGAUAUGCGGAGGAACACCGAUGGCGAAGGCAAUCCCCUGGGCCUGCGCUGACGCUCAUGCACGAAAGCGUGGGGACGCAAA
rnacentral:rRNA from 1 species